AUUCAUUUAAAUAACUUGUGUUAGCUAGGGUUGUUGAUAGUCUCAAAAUUGUUGAGACAUCAUCAAUAAGCUAAUGGAUCUCAAUGAUUGUCAAUGGAUCCAAGACAAGUUAGUGGGAGCAAUAUGCAUUCAAAUCAAGAAAAUAUAUAAGUGUUAUUUUUUGAAUGAAUGCUAAGUUACAACAAGGCCAGUGGGAGUGAUGUCAUAAUUUUGAGCAACAAGAUGUGAAUAAAGUCUAUUUGAUAGACUUGAUAAAACAUAGAUGUGUUACUCGAAAAAUGACAAAACAUGACACGGUCAAUUUUGAAGUAUAGACUUGAAAUUGGACUUAUUGAUAUAGCAAGGCUAUCUCAAUAAUGUUAUAUGGGAAUUAAAUCUCAAAUGUUGAAGAUUUAAGAAAGCAUUUUCCUAUGUGAUAGAAAUCACUUUCAUAACCCUUAUAAUGAAUGUGUCAUAAAAUCACAAAAAGGGACA
rnacentral:lncRNA from 1 species